UACGUAGGGCGCAAGCGUUAUCCGGAAUUAUUGGGCGUAAAGAGCUCGUAGGCGGUUUGUCGCGUCUGCCGUGAAAGUCCGGGGCUCAACUCCGGAUCUGCGGUGGGUACGGGCAGACUAGAGUGAUGUAGGGGAGACUGGAAUUCCUGGUGUAGCGGUGAAAUGCGCAGAUAUCGGGAGGAACACCAAUUGCGAAGGCAGCUCGCUGGGACGGUACUGACGCUGAGGCGCGAAAGCGUGGGGAGCAAACAGG
rnacentral:rRNA from 1 species